CGCAAAGAGGGAAGUUGGGCUCCUAUUGAAACGCUUUCCCUCCCUCAACGACCAGCUUUCAAUACUAGUUGUUACGUUACGCUGCCUUUUUUCCAAUAUCAUUGAAUAGCAUGGCCUGGAGCUAAGGUAACUCAAGUGGGAGAGCCGUGUUAUGGGUGACCUUAUUGCACGGUUUAAAGAGCACUUGUGUAUGUGAUGCAAGUGAACGUGUACGAAAAAGCUGUCGUAAAGUUUCGUUGUUCGUUCCGUCUUUGA
rnacentral:lncRNA from 1 species